CCUAGUUGAUCUAAAUUUGAUAAGUCAUUGCAUUGCAUGAGAAAUAUACAGAAAGAGAUGGAAAUGUAGGUCUGCAGUUAAGGAGAAAGAUAUGGACUAGAGGGAGAGUUUUUAAAGUUAUGACAAUGAGGAUAUCGAAGGAUUGAGAAGACCUAUCUAUUUUAUAACCAAUGAAAGAGAAUAAUAUAUUGAUACUGGAUGAGACGGGGGAUGACUACUAAACCAAGGUCCUCUAGGAGGUCUUCCUGACUCUAGGACUAAUGUUCGAUCCACUGUGUCACUUCAUUGACUCUGAGCAGCUGGAAAUACAUCAACAGAUUUCACAAGUGGUGACUAUGAGGGCAGAGGGGAGAACUGAAGGAGGAUCUGAGGCCAGGGGCACCAUCCCUCAUACCCCAGAAUUAAAGGUGAUUACAAUAACAAAUUGCUGUGAAUUGAUAAACAAAGAGCGGGGAAAGGAGAAAGAAUCCAACCAUACAAAGUUACUGUGGGAAUAGAGAAGACUGUUAUUUGUCUUUGGAGGAGGAUAUUCAAGCAAAAAGAAAAAAGGCUUCUUUUACCCCAAAGCUUA